AACGAACGCUGGCGGCAGGCUUAACACAUGCAAGUCGAACGCCCCGCAAGGGGAGUGGCAGACGGGUGAGUAACGCGUGGGAAUCUACCCAGUUCUACGGAACAACACAGGGAAACUUGUGCUAAUACCGUAUACGCCCCAAGGGGGAAAGAUUUAUCGGAAUUGGAUGAGCCCGCGUUGGAUUAGCUAGUUGGUGAGGUAACGGCUCACCAAGGCGACGAUCCAUAGCUGGUCUGAGAGGAUGAUCAGCCACACUGGGACUGAGACACGGCCCAGACUCCUACGGGAGGCAGCAGUGGGGAAUAUUGGACAAUGGGCGAAAGCCUGAUCCAGCCAUGCCGCGUGAGUGAUGAAGGCCUUAGGGUUGUAAAGCUCUCUCAGUGGGGAAGAUAAUGACGGUACCCACAGAAGAAGCCCCGGCUAACUUCGUG
rnacentral:rRNA from 1 species